GAUGAACGCUAGCUACAGGCUUAACACAUGCAAGUCGAGGGGCAGCAUUCUUCUAGCAAUAGAAGAGAUGGCGACCGGCGCACGGGUGAGUAACACGUAUCCAACCUACCGAUAACUCUGGAAUAGCCUUUCGAAAGAAAGAUUAAUACCGGAUAGCAUACGAAUAUUGCAUGAUAUUUUUAUUAAAGAAUUUCGGUUAUCGAUGGGGAUGCGUUCCAUUAGUUUGUUGGCGGGGUAACGGCCCACCAAGACUACGAUGGAUAGGGGUUCUGAGAGGAAGGUCCCCCACAUUGGAACUGAGACACGGUCCAAACUCCUACGGGAGGCAGCAGUGAGGAAUAUUGGUCAAUGGGCGAGAGCCUGAACCAGCCAAGUAGCGUGAAGGAUGAAGGCUCUAUGGGUCGUAAACUUCUUUUAUAUGGGAAUAAAGUUUUCCACGUGUGG
rnacentral:rRNA from 1 species